UCCAAGUGGCAGUCCGAUUGGUUGGCGU
rnacentral:piRNA from 1 species